rnacentral:rRNA from 1 species
UAAUUGAAGAGUUUGAUCAUGGCUCAGAUUGAACGCUGGCGGCAGGCCUAACACAUGCAAGUCGGGCGGUAACAGGGAGAAGCUUGCUUCUCUGCUGACGAGCGGCGGACGGGUGAGUAAUGUAUGGGGAUCUGCCUGAUGGCGGGGGAUAACUACUGGAAACGGUAGCUAAUACCGCAUAAUGUCUACGGACCAAAGCGGGGGACCU